ACGUAGGAGGCAAACGUUAUCCGGAUUUACUGGGCGUAAAGCGCGUGUAGGUGGUUCUGUAAGUAGGGCGUGAAAGCUCCUGGCUCAACUGGGAGAGGCCGUUCUAAACUGCAGAGCUAGAGGAUGGUAGAGGGAGGUGGAAUUCCGGGUGUAGCGGGGGAAUGCGCAGAUAGACGGAGGAACACGAGUGGCGAAGGCGGCCUCCGGGACUAUUCCUGACACUCAGACGCGAAAGCGAGGGUAGCAAACGG
rnacentral:rRNA from 1 species